AGCAGCCGCGGUAAUUCCAGCUCCAAUAGCGUAUAUUAAAGUUGUUGCAGUUAAAGAGCUCGUAGUUGAACUUCGGGGUUUACCCAUUGGUCAGGCUUAAUUGUCUGCACUGGUGAGAUGAAUCUCUACCUUCUGAGGAACUUUCAUGCCAUUUAUUUGGUGUGAUGGGAAAUCAGGACUGUUACUUUGAAAACAUUAGAGUGUUUAAAGCAGGCUAACGUCUGAAUACAUUAGCAUGGAAUAAUGAAAUAGGACGGACUGAUUCUAUUUUGUUGGUUUCUAGGAUCACCGCAAUGAUUAAUAGGGAUAGUUGGGGGCAUUAGUAUUCAAUUGUCAGAGGUGAAAUUCUUGGAUUUAUUGAAGACUAACUACUGCGAAAGCAUUUGCCAAGGAUGUUUUCAUUAAUCAAGAACGAAAGUUAGGGGAUCGAAGACGAUCAGAUACCGUCGUAGUCUUAACCAUAAACUAUGCCGACUAGGGAUCGGACGAAGUUGAUUUUAUAAUGACGCGUUUGGCACCUUACG
rnacentral:rRNA from 1 species